rnacentral:rRNA from 1 species
UAAGGAAUAUUGGUCAAUGGACGCAAGUCUGACCCAGCCAUGCCGCGUGGAGGAUGAAGGCCCUCUGGGUUGUAAACUUCUUUUAUUUGGGACUAAACACUUCUUUUCUAAGGAGCUUGACGGUACCGGAUGAAUAAGGACCGGCUAACUCCGUG